CCUACGGGAUGCACCAGUGGGGAAUAUUGGACAAUGGGCGAAAGCCUGAUCCAGCAAUGCCGCGUGUGUGAAGAAGGUCUUCGGAUUGUAAAGCACUUUCGACGGGGACGAUGGUGACGGUACCCGUAGAAGAAGCCCCGGCUAACUUCGUGCCAGCAGCCGCGGUAAGACGGGGGGGGCAAGUGUUCUUCGGAAUGACUGGGCGUAAAGGGCACGUAGGCGGUGAAUCGGGUUGAAAGUGAAAGUCGCCAAAAACUGGCGGAAGACUCUCGAAACCAAUUCACUUGAGUGAGACAGAGGAGAGUGGAAUUUCGUGUGUAGGGGUGAAAUCCGGAGAUCUACGAAGGAACGCCAAAAGCGAAGGCAGCUCUCUGGGUCCCUACCGACGCUGGAGUGCGAAAGCAUGGGGAGCGAACGGGAUUAGAUACCCCUGUAGUC
rnacentral:rRNA from 1 species